CCCUGGCUGCCCCUUAAGACUCAAAUAUAUGUUGGAGAUAGGUUGAUGGAAGCCCAAUGUGGUGCCCGGAGCUGAGGCCUGGUUAUAGGGCAUUUCCAAGUCUCUGGGAAAUGUCCCUCCUCUCAGAAGAGGGGAUGGAGUAAUGCCAUCACAUCUCAGGUAAAUUCCCUCACCAUCUGGUAGCCCAAUGCCUAGAGAGUUUGACAGGCUUUCUCAAAUUUGAGUCCCCUUUGAUUGUUUGAAGGCCAAACGCUGGACCCAGAAUUACCUGGCAUGAAUUUUGGCUAUCAAGUUUGCUCAUGUCAGGCUGGUCCACAUAGAGUUGAGCUUCUACAAAGCUGGCCUUCUGGUUGUGAGUGUACUGUGUCAACCCAGUGCUUUUAGGGGGCAGGCUGCACUCAUACCCAUGCUCUUUCUCUCUCCAGGUCUCCUCAAACUUCUUCCCUCACAUCCGAGUCUCUUCCUCCCCUAGGAGUCUCCUGGUGCAUGGAACUGACCUGAAACUGGGGUUCCCCCAAAGCCUCUGUCUUCCUUCUGUAGCUGAGCUGCUUCAGCCUCUGUGGGACACCCAUUUGAAGGAACCUGUCUAAAUCCAUGUAAGCUGAGACUCUUCCUCCUCUGCCAGACACCUGUUCCAAGGAAGCUCCUGCAACAAGGGUGUGGGCUUGUGUCGUGAAGGUUGAGUAUCCAGGGUGACAGUGAAGAAUCCUACUCCCACCGCAAGAGUGGAUUUCAGUGUGCCUGAGAGGAAGAGGAGUAAGACAUCUUGUUGGCCUGUGCCACAGGUCAGUGCAGACCAGAGUUUUGCUGUGGGAGGCAGAGGAAGGGCUGAGAGUCGCUGUUAGAGCACAUGUCCACCAGAGGGCACCAGAGCCCCUCAUCGCCUCUUUGCAGCUCCCUGUUUGUAUCUCCAGGCUCAGAAGGGGAUGGAAGAGGGAUGCAUGGAACCUCAAGGAGGGGCCCAGAGCCUGGUGUUGGUUUGCAUGGUGCCUCUGACAUUGUGGCCCCAUU
rnacentral:lncRNA from 1 species